CCAAAUGCUCAAUGUGACCUAGGAUUUAACUGUCAAUCCUAAUUAAGUCAACCACAUUAUAUUUCAACAUUUCAAAUCUAUCUCAUGGAUUAUCCUAGUCAAACUUUUGCUAAAUUGAAAUAUACUGAUGUAUAUCUCCUACCAAUUCAGAGGAGUCAAUUCCAUCUUGACUCACACACCGACUUGAUAAGUACUUGACUGCACCC
rnacentral:lncRNA from 1 species